UGGCUCAGAACGAACGCUGGCGGCAUGGAUUAGGCAUGCAAGUCGAACGAAGCAGCAAUGCUAGUGGCGCAAGGGUGAGGAACACGUGAGUGACCUACCCGCAAGUUUGGAACAGCUCCUGGAAACGGGAAUUAAUACCGGAUGUGAUCGAUGAACUGCAUGGUUUGUUGAUUAAAGCAGCAAUGCGCUUGCGGAUGGGCUCGCGUCCCAUUAGCUAGUUGGUGAGGUAACGGCCCACCAAGGCCAUGAUGGGUAGCUGGUCUGAGAGGACGACCAGCCACACUGGGACUGAGAACUGCCCAGACUCCUACGGGAGGCUGCAGUCGAGAAUUUUGGGCAAUGGACGAAAGUUCUGACCCAGCAAUGCCGCGUGCGGGAUGAAGGUCUUCGGAUUGUAAACCGCUGUUUGGAGGGACGAAAAUUGACGGUACUUCCAGAGGAAGCCACGGCUAACUACGUGCCAGCCGCGGC
rnacentral:rRNA from 1 species